GACGAACGCUGGCGGCGUGCCUAAUACAUGCAAGUAGGACGCAGUUGCGAACGGGUGAGUAACGCGUAGGUAACUACCUAUUAGAGGGGGAUAACUAUUGGAAAAGAUAGCUAAUACCGCAUACUAGUAGAUGGAUCUGCGUGGUAUUAGCUAGUAGGUAGGGUAAAGGCCUAGCUAGGCAACGAUACAUAGCCGACCUUGGAGGGGGAUCGGCCACCCUGGGCCUUCGACACUGCCCAGACUCCUACGGGAGGCAGCAGUAGGGAAUCUUCGGCAAUGGGGGGAACCCUGACCGAGCAACGCCGCGUGAGUGAAGAAGGUUUUCGGAUCGUAAAGCUCUGUUGUUAAGGAAGCGGUACUUAACCAGAAAGGGACGGCUAACUACGUGCCAGCCGCCGCGGUAAUAC
rnacentral:rRNA from 1 species